UUCAGAGAACGGGAAGGAGAGGAGAGGGGAAGGGAGAGGCGCUGCCGGUGGUGACCACAACCACCGUCGCCGCUGACCUUGAGAGGAAAUCGAGAGUGAGAGAGAGACUCGCACAGUACGCGCGACGCGAGGAAGAGAAGGAGCUCAUCUUCGAUGCCGCCAUCACCGCGCCUUGCAGUUGCUGCCAUUGAUGGAAGCUGCCGCUGUCGUUGGAAGGAACCAAACAGGGAGAGGAGAUCGCUGUUGAUGCUGCCGCAGAGAGGAAGGAAGGGACGCGUGUGACAAACUGACGCAACAGAGGAGGAGCCGUUCCUCUGCUGCCGCCUCCGGAAUUCCUGGUCGCCGCCGUCGUUCAUGGUGAGUUGGUUGUGCCCUAGCUACCAGAACUACCAUUUCUGAACUCUUAUUGCUCUGUAACAAUCCUAUAGAUCAGGCAAGUCAAUUUUUCAUUGUGAAUGCUUUUUUCAAAUUGUAUUUUGUGUAGCUUGUAGGAACACGUGGUUUCAUAUGAGGCUAGAUUAUUUGUGUGUGAAUUGUACUUUUAUUGCUGCAUCUUUCUGCUUUUUGAUUUAGGUGUAUGAUAAUGAAAUUAUGAUCAUGUGAAUGUUUGAUUAAUGUGUGGUGAGUAUGGCAGAAUGCUAUUCGCGAAGGAUACAGACGGUACACUCCUAAUGCCAGAAUAUUUGAAUUGUACAAAGCGAUUUGUCAUAGUUGAAGGAGGAGAAUGGAAUUACAUAUACUCCUGAUCAGAUUGUAGUAAGCAAUGGAGCAAAGCAGAGUAUUGCUCUGACAGUGCUUGUAGAUUGUUCUCCCGGCGAUGAGACUUGUUUUCAAAGCAGACAACCUUGGUUGGGAAAUAUUGUCAAUUGCAGUGCCUUCUGCUAUGGCUUUGACAGCUGAUCCUAUUGCUUCACUGGUUGACACAACAUUCAUUGGCCGAAUAGAUAUUUAGAGCACUUGCUUAUCUUCACAAUAGCAUUGGAGUUUGUCAUAGGGACAUAAAACCUCAAAAUUACUGGUCAAUCCUCACAUCACCAGCUGAAGAUAUGUGACUUUGGAAGUGCUAAAAUUUUGAAAAAUCAUUAUGAAGGUGGGGGAGAACUUAAUCACACAUUGUGAAGAUUAAACACUAGAGUGAAAAUUACCAAUUUGUGGAGAUGAUGGAGAGCCUAUUUGCUAUUGUAAUAUAUCAAAUCUCUUUUAUUUAUGAUUAGAUAUUGUUAUGACUUAGACUUUUAUUAUGUGAUUUUAAAGUAUCUUAGUUUAUUUGACUUCUAAAGUCUUUUUUUAUAGGUCACAAACAUGUAUGAAUCUUAUAGAAUAUGUUAUAAAUCAAAUGUUCAAUUAGUUUUCUUUAGUAAUUUGAUUCAAAUAGUUGGAAUAUUAAUCUAUUGACACUAAAAAAUAGUUGGAAUAUUAAUUUCAAUGCAACAUGAGAAAACUAUUGUAAAUAAAGAAAUAUAUAACUAGAAAACACCGUUGUCAAAAGUUGCCAGAGACAAUGGUGUUAAAACCGUGGUCAAAAGCAGUUACACAAUGGCAAUGGUAUUAAAAUUGUUGCAAGGAAAAAAAAAAC